AAAGGCCGGAAGUCUCAGUCCGGAGAGCUCCGGAUUCCUCAUGCCCCACCUCGGGUACCUUCUUCCUGUGACUCUAGGUAGCCAUCUUUGAAGCAAAUACCUCCCAGGCUUCUUACAAGCUCGAGUUUCUGUGUCUGGAAUGCAUGAGUGUAACCUAAUGAUGCACAGCCUUCAAAACUCAGAGAUCUCAAGAAAUGGAGGGAAGCUGUCCUCGGAGGAGCCAUUUUGAAGGAAAGAUUUUCUGAAGUGAAUUGUGGACUGCAGAAGUUUUAGAUUGUCUGCAGAGGAGGGGGGAGAAUGACUUUAUGAGAAUCACAAGGUUACCCGGGGAGCACGCUGGAAAGAGACUUUUAUCCGGACUUAUCAGCAAGGAGUUUUUAGAAUAAUGUUGUAGCUCAAUAUAAAUAUAAAACGAGUGAAAAUUAACCUUCCCUUGAACCAUGUGGACUAUAGAGUUCAUUAUUUUUUAAAAUAUUCGCAGAUAUGCUGCUUAGAGAUAAAAGAUGUUUCUAGGGAAGGUACCGCAUGCCUUUGGCUCUUUGUGAAUAAAAUCAUGCUCUUUUAUUUCUGACUCUGGGAUAUACUAGGUUGGAAUAUGUUGGGGGAGACUGACUGUAUAGUCACUGUAUCCAAGUAUGUACUUUUAGCCAUA